GACGAACGCUGGCGGCGUGCUUAACACAUGCAAGUCGAACGGAAAGGCCCUGCUUGUGUGGGGUGCUCGAGUGGCGAACGGGUGAGUAACACGUGAGUAACCUGCUCUAGACUUUGGGAUAACUUCAGGAAACUGGGGCUAAUAUCGGAUAGGAUAUCCUGCUGCAUGGUGGGGGUUGGAAAGUUUCGGCGGUUGGGGCUGGACGCGCGGCUUAUCAGCUUGUUGGUGGGGUAGUGGUUUACCAAGGAUUUGACGGGUAGCCGGCAUGGGAGGGUGACCGGCCACCUUGGUACUACGAUACGGACCAGACUCCUACGGGAGGCAACGGUGGGGAAUCUUGCACAGUGGGCGGAAGCCUGUUGAGGAGGCGCCGCGGGCGGGAUGACGGCCUUCGGGUUGUGAACAGCUUUAGCCUGUGACGAAGCGUGAGUGACGGUAAUGGGUAAAGAAGCACCGGCUAACUACGUG
rnacentral:rRNA from 1 species